GGCCGUUCAGGGAUCAUCAGGCCCACAGGAUCCAAGAUGAGGGCAAGCCUUCCAGCAGUGACUGGACUCGGACCAGUUGAAAGAACGUUUCACAAAUUAUUCCAGCCAUAGGCAGCGCUGGGGAGGCUGGCAGAGCAAGCGGCAGUCAGGGGGCCAGGAACCUAGUUCCCUCCUUCUCCCCCCAAGCCAGCAGGAGGCCAGGAGUAUGUGUGUGGGUGCCUUCCUCUUCCAUCACCGGAGAGCCACCUUCAGGAGAAGCCACUGUAUCCCAGGGAGCCUCAGCAUUCCCUGGAGAGACCGUAUGCAUGACCAGGCCAUUAGCUACAGUCAAACUGAAGGAGCCACACGUUCUCUCCGCACUUGGGUGACCACGGGAGUGAACUGUGUUGACCUGAUUAGCUCCAGCGAACUUGCAGCUGGCCCUGAUGGGUCGUUGGUUUAAACACUUCAGGUGCUACAGACACUUCUGAAACUCUUUAGAAAACCGUGAACUCUCUUGCCAGGAAUACGCACACAUGAACAAAAGCCUGCCCUUCGCCCCCUGGAACACCUCCAUCCGAUCAAGGUUACCAUCUUGAUAAGACGAGGGGACUGAGAAGUAGACGUGAAAUGAAUGGUCCAAUGUCACACAGCUGGCAAGAGCAAAGUCUCCAACUCCAAGUCCAAGGCCAUGGAGAGGGAAGGACAGCGAUGCCGGGAAUCCGGGAACGUUUUUCUCUUCUGGCCGCGGCCAGUCCCGGAGUCCUGCUCUCCUUACAUCCAGAGCAGCUCUGAUGUGACCCUGGCUGCCAGCCAGCACUUGUGCCUGUCAGCCAAUGCUCGUGCCCGCCCACGUUCAUGGCCGGCAGCCCUGUCUGAGGUCUCUGCCAGCAAACAUG